rnacentral:rRNA from 1 species
GACGAACGCUGGCGGCGCGCUUAAUACAUGCAAGUCGAGCGAGAACCAGGGCUUCGGCCCUGGGGACAGCGGCGAACGGGUGAGUAACACGUGGGUAAUCAACCCCCGACACCGGGAUAGCCCAGGGAAACUUGGAUUAAUACCGGAUGCCCCAUCUGGCUUUCGAGCCGGCUGGAAAAGGGUAGCUUCUGCCUCCGGUCGGGGACGAGCCCGCGGCGGAUUAGCUUGUUGGGGAGGUAAAGGCUCACCAAGGCGACGAUCCGUAGCUGGUCUGAGAGGACGAUCAGCCACACUGGGACUGAGACACGGCCCAGACUCCUACGGGAGGCAGCAGUAGGGAAUCUUGCGCAAUGGGCGAAAGCCUGGCGCAGCGACGCCGCGUGAGGGAAGAAGGCCUUCGGGUUGUAAACCUCUUUCAGGAGGGACGAAGCCACUCGGGUUAAUAGCCUAGAGGGUGACGGUACCUCCAGAAGAAGCCCCGGCUAACUACGUGCCAGCCGCCGCAGUAA